rnacentral:lncRNA from 1 species
CUUUACCAACUAGGAAAUCAACUAGUGAGAAAAGGCAGGCUAAGACUAUGGAAUGUUGGGAAAAGUAGAAGCAAAAUUACGAAUAAUAAGCAUUGUCUAAUGUCUAUUCUCACCAUAACACACUGCACCAAAAUUAUUGCAAUAUAGUGCAACUAGUAUUCUGAUUGUAAAUUCACUAUACUGCACUUAAAACCUGUCACAAACAGAGGCUGAAUCAGUUUCACACAUUACACCAAAUGUAUCCAUGUGACACAAUAGUAGCAGUUCAUACCGUAUUAAGACACCAAUAACAUAAACUUUUAUGUAAAACUAAUUUAUAUGAACAAUCUUAAAUUAUAUGUAAAACUAAUUUCAUUUCUACUAUCUUCUAAUGUUGGAAUCAGGAAGAAAUGGAACUGUAACAUUCUAUUCCAAACUUAUCAAAAGAAAGAAUCAAUUACUUCAAACCAUAUAAUCUCUCUUGUAUCACUGAUAGACUAUUUUAAGCAAACAUUAAUCAAAGCACCAAGAAAUGUGGAAGAGAGGAUGCAAAAUUAACCACUUGGUGGCAAAUCCCAACCUGUUGGGAAAGACUCAAUCACCCUAAGGAGGUUGAGGGCUAAUUUUAAAACACUGAAAUUGAAAUUAAAAAUGUACAGAACAAUAUUGCAUGAUGGAACACUAGGAGUUUUUUACUUGUAUUAAAUACAGCGUUGGAAGAUAAAAAGUAACACAGCUAGAUCGGGGAAUGAAACAACUCAUGCAUCUACAAACCAAAUUUCCUACAUCCCAAUUCCCAGAAUGUUGCCAGGAAAAAGAAAACCUAAAAAAUUGAAGGCAUAAAAUACUUCAUCAUUGCCUUUUCUUUGCCUUCAAGAAUCAAAAACUACACAUUUCACAAAUAAAGUCAGUUUAAAAUCAAACAGUAAAACUGUAUGUCAUUGCUUAAGUAUCUAUCAAUAAAAUAUCCCUAUGGUUUAUAUUAGCACUUCGCUAUUCUUAAGCUAUUUUCUGUAAACCUUUUAACAAAUUACACUAGACAUGUGAACCGCAAGACAUAGCUCAAUAUCAUGUCUGCACUCUUUUAAGGAUAGUGCAAGAUAAAUAAUAGAACAUAUAUAAAAUCAAAUUAGUUUCUAUUCCAUUAGAUUUAACCCUGGAGCAGUCAAAUAAACACUUUUUUGGCAAGUCAAUCAUAUUUCAUACAAGAUUAUCUUCAUCAUCAUCACAAAUAGAAAGAACAAAAGGGGGAGAAAUGCACUUACCCAAAACGAAGAAAGUGUUGGUUUGAUGGAAGAGGAUGGAGUAGGGUGUGAACAAUGAGGACAGAUGUGUGGUGAAGGAGGGUGUUGAUGACUGUUGAGGAGAGGAGGGCGUGGAGAAGGAGGGUGUGGAGGAGAGAAGGGUGUG